rnacentral:misc_RNA from 1 species
AACUUUCGGCAAUGGAUCACUUGGCUCUCGCAUCGAUGAAGAACGCAGCGAAAUGCGAUAAGUGAUGUGAAUUGCAGAUUUUCAGUGAAUCAUCGAAUCUUUGAACGCACCUUGCGCUCCUUGGUAUUCUGAGGAGCAUGCCUGUUUGAGUGUCAUGAAAUUCUCAACUGCUUUGGCUUUUUAUGGGCUGAAGUGAAGUUGGAUUUGGAGGAAUAAUUGCUGGCGUGACCUUUUUAGGUUGCUUGUUAGCUCCUCUUAAAUGGAUGAACUUUCCAGUAGUAAAGUAACACCAAUGUGAUAAUUAUCUACGUUGGAAUAAGCUUGAAUAAGGAAAGAUGAAAUCUGCCUUGGAGGGAAAACCCCCUUGAUGAAACAAAUGACAAAUUUGACCUCAAAUCAGGUAGGACUACCCGCUGAACUUAAGCAUAUCAAUAAGCGGAGGCU